UAUGUCCCUUCAAAACAGUAUACCUGUAUCCCUUGGAUAUAUACCUAGUAGUGCAAUUGCUGGGUUGUAAGGUAGUUCUAUUUUUAAUUUUUUGAGGAACCUCCAUACUGUUUUCCAGAGUGGCUGCACCAGUUUGCAUUCCCACCAGCAGUACAAAAGCGAUCCUCUUUCUCUGCAUCCUUGCCAACAUCUGUUGUUGCCUGAGUUGUUAAUUUUGGCCAUUCUGACAGGUGUGGGGUGGUAUCUCAGUGUGGUUUUGAUUUGUAUUCCCCUGAUGAUGAGUGAUGUUGGGCAUUUUUUCAUGUGUUAGUUGGCCAUCUGGAUGUCUUCUUUGGAAGACAUGUCUAUUCAUGUCUUUUGACCAUUCCUUCACUGGAUUAUUUGUUUUUUGGGUGUUGAGUUUGGUAAGUUCUUUAUAGAUUUUGUACCUAUUUCCUUUUUAAAAAAAAAAAUUCUGGUCACAAUUCAUAAAUUCAUUUCAUUAACCACUAAUGGAUCACAACCUAUAAUUUGAAAAAUACUGAUGAAUAAUAAGGAUUGCUAAUUUUAUGAUUUUUUUCCCCUUCAAGACUUAGAAUGUAAACAUUGUCAUUUUAUCUGUUUCUAAACCACUCAACUACGUACUUUCUUGGCCUCACCUAAACCUUGCUAUCACAAAAAUUGCACUGGCUCCAAAAUCCUAUCCACAGGCAUCCUGCUUUCAGGCUACAAUAUUUCGUUCUUCCAGGUUAUGUGCCCAAGUGCUCCCAACUACAGUUGUUUCAUUACAUAUAGAUCACACUGAUUUGCCACUUGUGUCUCUUCUUUCUUAGCCACUUUAAAGUCCAAGGUCUAACGUUGUAAUCACAUGCUUAAAAGAUAAUAAAUUUCCAUGUCUCUUCUUCACUUUUUAAUACUUACCUUGCAAAAUCCCAAAUCUUGACAAACUAGACAAUUCUUUUUACCUACACAUAUUCCAACACAUGAACAUAGAUGGAGAAAAUCGUACAACCAAAAAGACUGGUUUCAUUUAAAAAUUGUCUCAAGCUUCCAACAGUCUCUUAGCACUGACAGUCCUACUCUCUUUUUCAUACUACAUUCUCAUCCCUCCUGCUGCAUGUACUUUCUUUCUACCCUUACCACCCAGCUGAUAACCUACCCCAAUGAUUCUCAAAGUGUUGUCCCUAGACCAGCAGCAUGAACCUCAUCUGGGAACUUGCUAGACAUGAAAAUUUUCAAGUCUUCAGAUCUACUGAGUCAGAAACUCUAGGGAUGAGACCCAGCAAUCUGUGUUUUAACAAGCCCUGCAAGGUAACUCUGAUGUCUGCAAAAGUUUGAGAACUGCUGAUCUAACCUACCAUACUUCAUUGAGAAGCCAUGCUCUAGAAUUUAAGCUCCAGAGGAGGGGUUAUUUUUGUUUUUGUUUUUAAUGUUUAUUUAUUUUGAGAGAGAAAAUGCAUUAGUUGGGGAGAGGCAGAGAAGGAAGGAGAAAGAGAAUCCCAAGCAGGUUCUGUGCUGUCAGACAGGCACAGAGCCUGACAUGGGGCUCGAUCCCACAAACUGUGAGAUCAUGACCCGAACUGAAAUCAAGUCAGACACUUAAACAACUGAGCCACCCAGGUACCCAUUUUUUAAAAAAAAUAUAAUUGACAUACAAUAUUAGUUUAAGGUAAACCACACAGUGAUCCAACAAUUAUAUACACUAUGAAACACUAUACAAAGUUACUACUCUAUUAUUGACUGUAUUCCCUAUGCUGUACUUUUCCUCCCCAUGACUUAUUUAUUUUAUAACUGGAAGUCUGUCCCCCUUAAUCCCCUUCAUUUAUUUUCCACACCUUCCUGUCCUCUGGCAACCACUAGUUUGUUCUCUGUAUUAGUUUAUUUCUGUUCUUUGUUCAUUCAUUUGAUUUUUGGAUUCCACAUAUAAGUGAAAUCAUAUGGUCUUUUUUUCUGACUUAUUUCACUUAGGUUCAUUCAUGUUAUCUUGAAAGGCAAGAUUUCAUUAUUUUUUAUAGCUAGUAUUCAAUUGUAUAUAAACUACAUAAUUCUUCAUCCCUCUGUGGAUGGACAUUUAGGUUGUUCCCUUACCUUGGCUAUUAUAAAUAGUGCUGCAAUAAACAUAGGAAGGCAUAUAUCUUUUUGAAUUAGUGUUUUUGUUUUCUUUGGGUAAAUAACCAGAGGUGGAAUUACUUAGUUGUAUGGUAUCUCUGGUUUAAUUUUUUGAGGAACCUUAAUGCUGUUUUUCAUAGUGGCUACACCAACUUACAUUCCCGCCAACAGUGUAUGAGGGUUACAAAGGCAGGAGUUGUCUUUUUUGGUCAUUUAUAUCCUGAGUGCCAGAAUGGUUCCUGGAACACUGUAAGCCUCAAUAAGUUACUGUUGAAUCAUACCUUUAGAUGGGAAUACUCUUAUUUCCUACUAAGAAGUCUAGAAGCCUACCUGCAUCUGUACCCAUUUUCUUCCUUCCUUCUCCAAUUGGUGAAAUGUGCCUCAUGCUAUCAAAGGUCAGCAUUAUCAGAUAUGAAUUAGAUCUCAUCUCUUCUUGCCUUCUCAGGAACUUUGCUCCUUUGGUCAUCCCCUGUGUCCUACAUUAUCUAUCAGCCUUUCUCUACUAGAUCAUUUCCUUUAAUAUACAAUCAGAUUCUACACCAUUCUAAAAUAAGAACAGACUCCCUCUCCUCAUAUGCCCUUUCAGUUACUGUCCCAUUUCUGUUUGCCUUCACUGCCACACUUCCUUGCUUUCCAUUUCUAGUCUUAUUUUCACCUCCACUAUUCAGUGGUUCUUAACAAAGUCAGUAAUUUUUUAAACAUCUUUAUUGAGAUAUAAUUCACAUACCAUAAAAGUUACCCAUUUAAAGUGUACAAUUCAAUGGUUUUCAUACAUUCAGAAGUGUUUAAUCAUCACUACAAUCCAAGAUUUAGAAUAUUUUCAUCACUCCCAAGAGAAACUUCCUACCCAUCAGCAGUUACUCCCUACGCACCUCACCCCUCUGCCCUAGGCUACCGCUACUGUACUCUGUUUCUAUAGAUUUGCCUAUUCUGGACUUUUCCUUUGAAUGGAAUCAUAGAGUGUGUGGUCUUUUGUGACUGGCUUCUAUCACCCUAAAGUUUCCAAGGUUUAUCCACAUUGUAGCAUGUAUGUAUACUUUAUUCCUUUUAUGGCUGAAUAAUAAUCCCUUGUAUGAAUAUACUGUCUUUUAUUUAUGCAUAAUCAGUUGAUGGACAGUUGGUUGUUUAUGCUCUUUGGCUAUUAUGAAUAAUGGUGCUAUGAACAUAUACAAGUUUUUGCGUGGUUACUUCUCUUGGCUAUAUACCUGUAAGUGGAAUUGCUUGGCUAUAUAAUAACUUAAGCAUUUUAAGGAACUGCUAAAGCAGCUGUACUAGAUACCAGAAAUAUUGUUGUAGCUUGUUUUAGAAAAACAAUCUGCCAUAGUCUGUUCUGGCCACACAAUUCACAUCCUUCACACAUGCAGAAUACACUUGCCCCCUCCCAAGAAGGUCUCCCAAAGUUCCAUUUCUUAAUGGCAUCAGGCUCAGGCUUGAAGUUUAGAAACUCAGUGAGGUCAGGUGCAGAUGAGAUUCCUUGGGUACAAUUUCUUGAUGACAGCUCCUGGAGUAUAGUUCCACUUGAUAUGAAAACAUGGUGACUAAAGAAGCAAACUAGGGGCGCCUGGUUGCUCAGUCAGUUAAGUGUCUGACUUUGGCUCAGGUCGUGAUCUCACGGUUUGUGAGUUCAAGCCCUGCAUAGGGCUCUGUGCUGAUGGUGCAGAACCUACCUGGGAUUCUCUCUCUCCCCCUCUUUCUGCAUGUCCCAGUUUCUCUCUCUCUUAAAACAAGCAAAUCUAAAAAAAAAAUUAAAAAAAGAAGCAAA